GGAGUACUGGUUAGUAAUGAUGACUUUGUGGUUGGUUGGAGGGGACCUCAUUCUGGUGUUAACUUUCUUGUGGAUCCAUUCAAUGGGAAAUGCAAAAUACUUUUCACAAGGGAUACUGCUUUCUGUUUCAAGGGUGAAGGAAAGCAUGCAGUUAUAAAGUGCAAUUUCAAGAUUGAGUUUUUGCUGAGGGAAAUCAAUGAGAUAAACGAAUGCAAAGAC
rnacentral:misc_RNA from 1 species